ACGCUCGACACCUACGGGAGGCAGCAGUGGGGAAUAUUGCACAAUGGGGGAAACCCUGAUGCAGCGACGCCGCGUGAGCGAAGAAGUAUCUCGGUAUGUAAAGCUCUAUCAGCAGGGAAGAAGAUGACGGUACCUGACUAAGAAGCACCGGCUAAAUACGUACCAGCAGCCGCGGUAAUCUGAGCGGGCUGGCAAGGC
rnacentral:rRNA from 1 species